GGAGUUAAAGGGUUUAGUGUUCUAUUAUUGCGGCAGCAGAUAACAAAUCUUCUUAAUUAGUCGGGCGACCGUCUAUAGGUUUACCAUCGGGUUUCUCCACAAGGUCGGCAUUAGAUAACAUAGGGUGAAGUAGACCCGAAUGAUUAGCAUUUUCCGAUCAUCGUAGUGACGUCAUCUCCCGACCACACUGUAAACUUCGGAAAUUAACAUGGCAACACAAGGGUGAAACCUGUAUGUGUCGGGCUAUUGUAGGCUGUAAGCUCAGACCAGGCCAUGCAUCAUUUUGGUUUACGCUUGUAGACUAAUAAACAGUUCCGCAGUUCGUGGGAAAAGCAGAGGGAUGUUUCCGGAGCAACUAACGAGCCGACCUAUUCUCGAGCUACCUCGGCCGAUGUUAUUUGGAACAUAACGACAACGACGUAAACGCUCCCCCAGGUUGGACUACAUCCGGACGAGGGAGUCAGCGGUGUACUGAUGCUAUUCUUAUAGGGAGAACACGAAGUGGACCAAUGAAAUGAUUAUAUCAACAUUUUCAUAUUUCUAUUGAUUAUUUUGAUACAUUUCAGAGCUGUCUAAUAUUGAAAUAAAUUCCUUUCUUGACACUUGUU